AACGAACGCUGGCGGCAUGCCUAACACAUGCAAGUCGAACGAGACCUUCGGGUCUAGUGGCGCAUGGGUGCGUAACGCGUGGGAACCUUCCCUUAGGUUCGGAAUAACUCCCCGAAAGGGGUGCUAAUACCGGAUAAUGUCUUCUGACCGAAGAUUUAUCGCCCUUGGAUGGGCCCGCGUUGGAUUAGCUAGUUGGUAGGGUAAAAGCCUACCAAGGCGACGAUUCAUAGCUGGUUUGAGAGGAUGAUCAGCCACACUGGGACGGAGAAACGGCCCAGACUCCUACGGGAGGCAGCAGUGGGGAAUAUUGCACAACGGGCGAAAGCAUGAUCCAGCACUGCCGGGUGAGUGAUGAAGGCCUUAGAGUUGUAAAGCUCUUUUACCCGGGAUGAUAAUGACAGUACCGGGAGAAUAAGCUCCGGCUAACUCCGUG
rnacentral:rRNA from 1 species